UACCUCCCAUUCCCUUUCCCAUCAGAUCGGAACACUUGUCUUGGUGGUCGCAAAAGGAGGAACAGAAGUACUGAAGCUGGCUUCACAGGGCUCAAAGUCUGCCGUGUUGCACAUAGACUAGUUUCAAACAGGA